rnacentral:lncRNA from 1 species
UGUGAUAUGACCAAGACCAAACCAAGCUGUUAAAUUUGAAACCGUCCCGGUGCCAAACUGUAUCUCAUCAGAAUGUUGUGAGAUUUUAUUAUUGUCAGCCUGUAGCAGGUGCACCUUCGAAUUUCCAUGGCAUCAUAUGCUUCUUCCCAAAUCAUGUACUCCCGCCGUUUCAUAUUAAGAGCCAUCAAGCCUCUACAGCUUUAGGUUCAUAUGCUAGUGACCAAAUGAACUUGUUUUAGGUUCAUAUGCUAGUGACCAAAUGAACUUGUUUUAGGUUCAUAUGCUAGUGACCUAAGAGAGCGGAUUAUCUACCGUGCACGGUAUAUACCGUGCAUGCAUCACCUACCCACCAUGUCAGAUGUAUUCUUGAAAGUGUGUCUGACAAAGUCAGGUGAAUAACCUACUCUACCUAUCAGCCUAUCUCUUUUCUCCUACUCAAUUAGUACUAUAUUUUAAGUUGAGGAUAUUUGAAACCCACAUAGAUUAUGAACCUCAAGUUUGAUUUAUGAUUUGUUUGCAUAUUUUUAAUAAUCGUGAUGAGACCUUUUAAACAAGAUCAGACUCGAAAAUAUUUUAGUGAAAUUUUAAACGGGACCAUGUUUAAUAAAGUUUCAUCAUGUUUCAAAUUUUGAUUUUUAAAAUUUGUCGAAAUAUAUUCGAGAAUGUUUUUGUUUGAAAGCCCUCGUCACGAGAAGCACAAAUAUGCAGAUGCAUCUUCUAUUGAAAUUUUGGUUUAUAAGAUAAAAUGAUUUCUAAUUUGUAAACACGUGAAAAAACAUGUGAGGGUGGAGCAAGACAUGAUACGAUGGACAAAGCAUAGCUUCUGUGCAUUCUGUGGAUGAAGCAUAGUAAUAAAUGGUUGAUGUGACAAGAAACAAAAGUGGUAGAAUGGGAGGGAAUAAAUUCAAUUGAAUAAGCAACAUGCGAUGAAAAUAGAGUAGGCCACAUUUGCAUGAUCCGUAUCUCCAAGAAAUGGAUGGCUUAGCCAUGCACGGGAUAUCCCGUGCAUGGUAGAACAUCAUUUCUCAGUGACCUAAUGUUAUUAUGCUGCUGACCUACUGUUUCUUGAAAGUGUGUGUUCAUGAUGGAAAACGGAGAAAGAUGUCAUAAAGUACUGUAGGUUGUGGACUGAUUGGAGAAACACAUUAUCGAUAGGAGAUCAUUGCAGAAGUAGAGCUCGAAACCUUUCAUCCGGAUAUGAUUUAUUUUAGAGAAACAACUUGACAUUAAUAUUUGGGCCUGCAGA